rnacentral:lncRNA from 1 species
AAUUGCAGUGUUGAACAAAUCUCUUCUAUGGACUUCGUAAUUUGUUUUGCUGUUGGUCACUUGGAGUAGAUCCUUGAUUUGAUUCUUCCGUAUUCAUGCUUUCUCCAUCUGCAGUCUCUAACAUUUCUUCAUCUUCAUCAUCAUCAUGUAGGUCUUUUGAAAUUAAUUGUCUGGCUAGUUUGAUAUUGAGUCCUUCAUUGUAGUGAAGCUUCCUUCUCAUUUCAAAUUGUCGCUUUUUUUCUCGUUCUUCAGGUGAGAGGUCACUAUCCUCCUCUCCUCUGCUUUCUUGUUCCUGAAUCCGAUACUUUGGCUCCAAGCCUUCAGCAGCAGCUAAUUUCUUGGCUAAGAUGUCUGGCGCCAUGGCUUCAGUAGUCUCGGUGUCCCUACACGCAUCUUCAUCAUCACCCAUCAUACUAUGGAUGCUGCCUGGAUGAUUGCUCCUCAACCAGAGAUGUCAGCCAGCUGAAACAUACCAGGAGACAACAAAGGACAUUCCUAACUUGGGGAAAAAUGGAGCAGGAG